rnacentral:lncRNA from 1 species
UGGGAGUCAAAAACAAAGGAGGUUCUCGGCCUCUUGGACCCGAUUUGGACGACAGAGGAGAGACCCUCCGACGACGGGAUCAAGGCCACUUCCGGUGAGAUCCCUUCCCCCUUUAUUUGGCUUUAGAUUUUUAGAUAUUUGGAAUGGGUUUGCAAAAAUAAAAAAAAUAAAAAAAGGAUAAAACAAAUGAACAAAAUAAAAAAAAAGAAAAAAAAACAAAGGAACGAAGAAGACAAUUCAAAAUCAACCUUGUUCUUUAAUCUUGAUGUUCUUUUCUUUCAAUAUCUGUGUAUUCGUAAAAAAAGGAGAGAGAAAACUACAGAGAUAAAAUUCGACUUUUUGUAGCCGAUUUGAAAAAAACUCCUCAUCUUCAUAUUUUUGUCGUUUUGCGUUUAUUUCUUCUGUUGGUUUCUGUCUUGUUUCUUGCAGGUGACUGAUGCACGUGGAGGACCAGCGAUUGGCGAGCAGCAACGGUGGCAGUGGCGUGCGAGGAGGCUACAGCAGCAAGGCGUGCGACUAGGGUUCCGAGGCUUCUUUUUUCUGCUAAAAUUGUUAAUGCUGUUAGGGCUAGGUUUUGGGUUUGGGCUUAAUUGGGCUUGCUGGGUUAAUUUUUAGGUAGUGGGUCAAGAAUUGGGUUGGUCAGAUUUGGGCUACUGUUGUUUUAUUUAUUUUUUUUAUUUUGGCACUGGGCCCGGGCAAAAAUUUGGGCUCUACAGCUGCCCCUCUUUGCUCAUUGUCGUGUAACGAGAAUAGAGCAAAGACUAAGAAAGGCCAAUUUGCCCGGGCUCGCCGAGUUUUGACUUCUCUUGGUGCUUCUCUUCUUCAAGUAGCCUCCUUCCAG